CCCCCGGUAGCUCAGCUGGCAGAGCAGCGGCCUUUUAAGCCGAGGGUCGGGGGUUCGAAUCCCUCCCGGGGGACCC
rnacentral:tRNA from 1 species